GAGAACACAGUUCAGGAGUUUUCAUUUAAUAGCUCAAUUUAUGGUAAUCAAAACAAAACAAACAGAACAUCUCACAAAUCUCCAAACAACCCAAACUCAAUUGUGCUAGGAUGAGUCCCCUGCCUCCUAAAAUCUCAGGUAUUCAAUCAGGUGAGUCAAAUAACAUGCAAAUUAUUUCUUGUUUUUCACGUUGACAAUCUCCACUUCAGCCUCAUGUCUACUUUUCUGUGUGUAAUCUUCAGUACGGGAAAAUUGCUUUGCUAACUGCCUCACCUGGGAAUUUAUUCCACCAGGAUCCGGGGGGAAGGUGACAGUGGAUUCCGUCUCCUGAUAUAUCCCGUGGUGACUGGUUUUGUUUCAUAGGAGACUUCAUUUUCAUUAAAAUGCACUUUCAUUCUUAAAGAAAAAAAUGAAUAAAAUACAGGUACAGAGAGUUUAACAUGUUGGUUUCUUGUUGAAAUAAAGUCUUCGAAAGUUUAAAUACAACCACUUUUUAUUGAUUGGCUUAAAAGUACACAUCAAGACCAUAAAUAAGUCAAAAGCAGACACACAUUUUUUUCCCUCAGAAUAAAAAUAUGCAUUUCCCAAACUAGACCACUUGGGGGCAGCAUAGCGCAGAGCUAGCUUUUCACUCAUCUCCCAGCGCAGUCUCCUUCAGUAAUGCAAGUCCCCACAAAGCAAGAACUUAGGUCUUGCUAUUCAUGUCAGCAGAGUCUUUGUCAAUUGUCAUCCUAUUUUUCUCUUUUUUUCGUGUUUCUUUAUCCUGAUCUUUUUUUUUUGGGGGGGGGGGAGGUUGGUUCUUCAUGAGUUAAGAGUUUUCAUACUUCUAGUAGGUUAAUUAACACAUUCAGAAAUUAAGUCAAAGCUGGCCCAGUGCCCUUUCUUGCUCAACCACAUGGGCAUGCUUGGGUAACUGUAGUUAUUUACAUUUGGCAUCCAACUGACUCCAUGAGCUGCAUUGCUUUCCCCCCUGUAUGAGUAUCCAGGCUAUUAAAUUAAACAGGUUAAUGUUAGCUACAGCGUCUCACCCCCCACCAUCCCCACAGCUAUAGUAAAUCUGCCACCUGUUUAUUUCCAUAAAAAUUCAAUUAUAGCACCGGCAGUUAUUCUUCUUAUGUGAGCAAUUAACUUCAAGCAGUUUCCAGCCAAAGAGAAAGGCCAGGCCAGCCGGCCCUUCCUUUCUUUGAUUCCUUCAGCCCUUGGUUGCUUCUUUUGUUAGGUGACUGCGCAACCAUCAAACCACUGAAAAAUGAAACAAGCAAACUGGACUACCAUGCACUCUUAUGCCAACGAAGAAACAAAAACUGAAAAAUCACUAACAGCUCUUUGCUUCCCCCUUGUCCUUUGAGUGCGGAAGCCGGGGAGGUGGAGGGCAGUGGGCAACUCGCUGGGGCACCAGGAGCACGGUUCUCCCUACCAUACACCACCAUGAAGAAGGGGUUGCUUUAAACACUGUUCUUCUUCCUUCUUUAUCUCUGUAGAAAAUGCAACCAUGCAGGGAAACCUUGGCCAAAUGCCACAGCGUCCUGGCUGAAGCAGCAACGCAAUUACGGAAAGAUAAAAAACCCACAACGGCCUGUGCAUCUGAGCAGCUGAGAGAAAGAAGGUGGUGAGAGGCAGGUGCACGUCUUUGUUUCUGUGAGAGGAGUCGGUCUUUCGUUCCAAGCUUCCAGCUGCAAAUGCCUGCGUUUUCCUUUUUAAGUGUUUCUCUUUUUCCUUCUUAAAUGUCUACUUUCCCGACCAUAUUUCUUUCUCACAAACAGUCCAUGAAUAAAAAGAAAAGGGCUAAUCGCAAUCUGAUUAUUUCCUACCGGAUCUAAUUCCCCAGGGCUGGUUUGGGUUCUUCUUUCCCUUCAUAUGCGGGGGAUAUUGACUUUCUUUUGAAGAAGCAAAAUUCUUAAAGAUCAUGCUUAACACAGAGACCUCACAGCUGGUCAACUUGCAGAGAACAGGAGAGAACUCAAAUCCAAGUGGGAUAUCUCUAUCACUCCUCUAUUACCUAUUCACGGCCCCCUUCUCCCACCCAAGGCUCAGAGAUCACCACCGACGAAGGGACAGAGAGACAACACGCUCCAGGGUAGUGGACAUCUACAGCCAACAGCAGGAUGUGACGUGGUCCUUGCACAAAGGGACUCAGAGUGGCCUGGUAGUGACUGCUUAAGACUGGCAUAAGAGCAAGUCAGCUAGAACCCCAGCAUGGACUGUGGAUAAUUCAUGAAGUCCACUCGUAGCUGAAGAGCUAUUGGCAAUUGCUGGUGUUUGGCAGAGCCAGAGUCAGUUAUCUUCAGGAAUAUGAUGCUAGAGAGGUUGUCCCGAUUCCAGCAGCACUUCCUCCACCCAUGCACACACAUACAGGCAGUACUAAGUGGACCCAGGGUGAUUUAAAACAAAGUGUGGCAAGUUAGGAGGAAAAACUGGUGGGUGGGUAAGGGGGGGGCCUGGAGGAGAGGGAUUAGGGAUAGAGUAGAUCAAAAUGUAUGGAAUUCUCAAUAAAAAUGUAAUUUAACCAAAGAGCCAAUUGGACUCAUAAGAUCAUUAAUUAAACCAUUCCCCAGUUUCAGAUUAAAAUAAAAUUUCCAUAUGCAAGCUAGUACUCAGUGCUCUCAAUUUAUUACUGACGAACUCAGAAAAUCAGAGGAAAACCCACUGCCCACUAAGCUUUAGAGAGUGCUCAAGGCAGCUCUAGGCCCUAAAGCAAGGGCAGGCGGGUGGGCUGGGUGCAGGGGUUCUGGUUUCACUUCCAAAUGGUCCCAAGCCUUGCUGGUCUCUGAGCAUGGCUGUAGUGCUGGUGGGUAUCCUGUCAUGUGCCGGC
rnacentral:lncRNA from 1 species